rnacentral:rRNA from 1 species
CAUGCAAGUCGAGCGGAAAGGCCCCUUCGGGGGUACUCGAGCGGCGAACGGGUGAGUAACACGUGAGCAACCUGCCCUUCACUCUGGGAUAAGCCCGGGAAACUGGGUCUAAUACCGGAUACGACUUCGAUCGGCAUCGAUUGAGGUGGAAAGAUUUAUCGGUGAAGGAUGGGCUCGCGGCCUAUCAGCUUGUUGGUGAGGUAAUGGCUCACCAAGGCUUCUACGGGUAGCCGGCCUGAGAGGGCGACCGGCCACACUGGGACUGAGACACGGCCCAGACUCCUACGGGAGGCAGCAGUGGGGAAUAUUGCGCAAUGGGCGAAAGCCUGACGCAGCAACGCCGCGUGAGGGAUGACUGCCUUCGGGUUGUAAACCUCUUUCAGCAGGGACGAAAACAGACGGUACCUGCAGAAGAAGCACCGGCCAACUACGUGCCAGCAGCCGCGGUAACACGUAGGGUGCGAGCGUUGUCCGGAAUUAUUGGGCGUAAAGGGCUCGUAGGCGGUCUGUUGCGUCGAAAGUGAAAACCCGAUGCUCAACAUCGGGCCUGCUUUCGAUACGGGCAGACUAGAGGUAGGCAGGGGAGAAUGGAAUUCCAGGUGUAGCGGUGGAAUGCGCAGAUAUCUGGAGGAACACCGGUGGCGAANGCGGUUCUCUGGGCCUUACCUGACGCUGA